UGCGUUAAUAUCACGUUGCAACACCAGUUCUCGUACGAUCAUCGAAGUUAAGCAACGUCGAUCCUGGUCAAUACCUAGAUGGUUGACCGCUUAGGAAUACCGGGU